rnacentral:rRNA from 1 species
CGGGUGAGUAACACGUGAGCAAUCUGCCCCUGACUCUGGGAUAAGCGCUGGAAACGGCGUCUAAUACCGGAUACGAGCUGCGACCGCAUGGUCAGUAGCUGGAAAGAAUUUCGGUCAGGGAUGAGCUCGCGGCCUAUCAGCUUGUUGGUGAGGUAAUGGCUCACCAAGGCGUCGACGGGUAGCCGGCCUGAGAGGGUGACCGGCCACACUGGGACUGAGACACGGCCCAGACUCCUACGGGAGGCAGCAGUGGGGAAUAUUGCACAAUGGGCGAAAGCCUGAUGCAGCAACGCCGCGUGAGGGAUGACGGCCUUCGGGUUGUAAACCUCUUUUAGCAGGGAAGAAGCGAAAGUGACGGUACCUGCAGAAAAAGCGCCGGCUAACUACGUGGGCGGGGGCCGCGGUAAUACGUAGGGCGCAAGCGUUAUCCGGAAUUAUUGGGCGUAAAGAGCUCGUAGGCGGUCUGUCGCGUCUGCUGUGAAAACCCGAGGCUCAACCUCGGGCCUGCAGUGGGUACGGGCAGACUAGAGUGCGGUAGGGGAGAUUG